rnacentral:ncRNA from 14 species
CCAACGGCCCUCUUUAGGGCCACAAAUAACCAGAAAUCCUUUUUU